rnacentral:rRNA from 1 species
UACGUAGGGCGCAAGCGUUAUCCGGAAUUAUUGGGCGUAAAGAGCUCGUAGGCGGUUUGUCGCGUCUGCCGUGAAAGUCCGGGGCUCAACUCCGGAUCUGCGGUGGGUACGGGCAGACUAGAGUGAUGUAGGGGAGACUGGAAUUCCUGGUGUAGCGGUGAAAUGCGUAGAUAUUGGGAAGAACACCUGAGGCGAAGGCGGGUUGCUGGGCCGACACUGACGCUGAGGCGCGAAAGCCAGGGGAGCAAACGGG